rnacentral:lncRNA from 1 species
ACUGGAUCUGAAAGCUGGACGAGCUCAGAUCUCCUCUGGGAGGUGUGGUAGGUGCCGUGGGCUCCAUACCGCCUGGCCUGGGAAAGCAGCACAGGGCCAGCAUCCGAUGCUGGGUGGGAUGAGAGUUCCGGCACCCACCAGCAAGACACUGGAAACCAGGCUCCUGCCUGUGUUCCCAACGACCCUCCAGAGCAAGACGCCCCAGC